rnacentral:rRNA from 1 species
AUGGCUGAGAUGGUCAAGUCUGUCAUUGUUGGGGAGGUAGUUAGCCGGAUUAUUUCUGGUAUUGCCCCCACCAGCAAAAACGAGGGCAAAUCAGAUGAAGAAGCAGGAGGAGGAGGUGGCCUAGAGAGGCUGGAGAUGGCGCGCAUCAAAAUGGAGGCCGCCCUUCAGGCGUCCGACAGGUGGCAGAUCACCGACAUGUCGCUGCUCCAUUGGCGGAAGAAGCUCAAGCGCGCCGCUCAGGACUGUGACAACGAAGCGCGCAGAUGCAGGCAACUUUCUUGGGAAGAACAUGAGGCAGAGCAGGUGGUAAGGAAAUCCUCAUUUCCCAUACGUGUCGCUCAUGCAACCAAGGCAUUCAUCUCCUCUCGUGCUGGCUGCAACAAUGAUCAUUCCUCUGCGGGCAGUGCCACUGCCGUGGCCAUCCGAAAAUUUGAGUGGUAUGCAGAAGGCGCUGGUGAAUUUAUCAAAUACGUGCAACUCGGCGGGACACCACGUCAACACCUAUUCUUUGACCCUCUCAUUGGGCAUAUCUUCGCAGGCAAAAGACUGGUGUAUGAGUUGUUGCAUCCAGGAGGACGAUAUCAGUUCUUCGGCGUAAGAUCGAUGAGUUUCGAGGAGAGAGGGCUGGAGGCCAUGGUAUCCUUUGUGUAUGAAGAUUGCAAGAUGCCAAAUAGUAGUUUUUGCUUCGGGUUCAUGAUGCGCCUUUCGAAGAGUACGGACAUAAUUGGAACUACGGUCAGUUGCUUGCGACUGGUGAACCCUCACUUCAAGUCCAUGGCCGACGCCAUCAUAAAAGAGAUCACACAGCUACCCACGCAAGAUUUCUCAUGGGUGCCGACAGAAGUUAAGAACAGCCACACAGAGUACUGGAACAGCAUCCACCGAACUUUGACAGGAUGGUUCCGCCCAGACCCACUAUGUUGUCAGGGAUAUGAUCAUGACAGCGUGCCUUUAUGUUGUAGUGGCGGUGAUGCCAAGGGCAACAAUGGAAACAAAUUUAUGCUUUCGAGCGAGUUUCCAGAACCAGUAUGCCAAAUGUUUUUGCAACGUCACAUCUCACUUUCCGAGUAUAAUAACCUGCUGCUGCCAGGACCAACCACAAUCUCAGGUUAUGAGGACACUGCUCCAGAGAAUUUCCCACCUUUGAAGCUAGGAAUCUUAUUUAUGCCUCAUGAUUCUCUAGAGGAAGGCCCCAAGUCUGCUGGCGAGGGCUCUGCCAUAGAGGCGAUAGAUGGAGAGAAGCAAGGCCUUACACAUGCGAAUGUUCACCCACACCAACUUGCUGACAUCUUGCUGCCCAAGGCGAUAACUCAUCUUUAUACUAACACUCAGGCUACGACUUACCAGAUAUGUUGGACGUCAAACCAUGGCAGUGCACACAUGUGCGUGGAGAAGACAAGAACACUCAAACGAUGCAGUGGCAUCAGAUCAACACGGCGAGGUAGGAAACUUAAGAGCACGAGUACUAGGGUGCGUUGUCAUAUGCAGCAGAUUCAACAAAUAAGGGAAGUGCAGUGGAAAAGGCUAGCCAGAGAUUUCCUCAAAUUAUGGACGGUGCGUUCCUCGGAGAGAUUGCGGAGCUUGUUUUCGGCUUGGAUUGAGCAGUACUGA